rnacentral:rRNA from 1 species
UCUUGCGGUGAUCAUAGCCUAGGUGAGACGCCCGGUCCCAUUCCGAACCCGGAAGCUAAGGCCUAGCACGGCGAUGGUACUGCACUCGAGAGGGUGUGGGAGAGUAGCAAGUCGCCGCGUU